CCUACGGGAGGCAGCAGUGAGGAAUAUUGCGCAAUGGGCGAAAGCCUGACGCAGCGACGCCGCGUGAAGGAUGAAGGUCUUCGGAUCGUAAACUUCUGUUAAGUGGGAAGAAAGACUCGUUUCUAAUAAAAACGAGGGAUGACAGUACUAUUAGAGAAAGCACCGGCUAACUUCGUGCCAGCAGCCGCGGUAAUACGAAGGGUGCUAGCGUUAUUCGGAAUCAUUGGGCGUAAAGGGCGCGUAGGCGGCCUGUUAAGUUUGCUGUUAAAUCUUUCGGCCUAACCGAAAACUGCAGCAAAAACUGAUAGGCUAGAGUGUAAGAGAGAGAAGUGGAAUUCUCGGAGUAGCGGUAAAAUGCGUAGAUCUCGAGAGGAACACCGAUGGCGAAGGCAGCUUCUUAGCUUACUACUGACGCUGAGGCGCGAAAGCGUGGGGAGCAAACAGGAUUAGAUACCCUGGUAGUCCACGCUGUAAACGAUGAUCACUAGAUGUUAGUUACUUGUCUUAGUACAGAGUUAGUGUCGUAGUACGUAACGACGUUAGUAGUAGUCCGCCGUCGGAGGUACGGUCGCGAGACGUAAACGUACGAACGAAGUAGUAGACGNGUAGAGAGCGACGACGACGACGACGGAGGGAGGAG
rnacentral:rRNA from 1 species